rnacentral:rRNA from 1 species
UACAGAGGGGGCAAGCGUUGUUCGGAAUUACUGGGCGUAAAGGGCGCGUAGGCGGCCUGUUAAGUCGAACGUGAAAUCCCCGGGCUCAACCCGGGAACUGCGUCCGAUACUGGCAGGCUUGAAUCCGGGAGAGGGAUGCGGAAUUCCAGGUGUAGCGGUGAAAUGCGUAGAUAUCUGGAGGAACACCGGCGGCGAAGGCGGCAUCCUGGACCGGCAUUGACGCCUGAGGCGCGAAAGCCAGGGGAGCAAACGGGG